rnacentral:tRNA from 1 species
GGCUUGAUACUUUAAUUUAAAAGGUCUGACUUGCAUUUAGAAAAUGAGCAAACUUGCUCUCGGGCCA